rnacentral:rRNA from 1 species
UACGGAGGGUGCAAGCAUUGAUCGGAAUUACUGGGCGUAAAGGGCGCGUAGGCGGCAUUAAAAGUCAGAUGUGAAAUUCCAGGGCUCAACCCUGGAGCUGCAUUUGAAACUUUAAAGCUAGAGUAUAGUUAGGGAAAACGGAAUUCCACGUGUAGCGGUGAAAUGCGUAGAUAUGUGGAAGAACACCAGUGGUGAAGACGGUUUUCUGGGCUAAAACUGACGCUGAGGCGCGAAAGCAUGGGGAGCAAACAGG